CAAUAGCGUAUAUUAAAGUUGUUGCGGUUAAAAAGCUCGUAGUUGGAUUUCUGCCGAGGACGACCGGUCUGCCCACUGGGUGUGUAUCUGGCUCGGCCUGGGCGUCUUCUUGGAGAACGUAUCUGCACUUGACUGUGUGGUGCGGUAUCCAGGACUUUUACUUUGAGGAAAUUAGAGUGUUUCAAGCAGGCACACGCCUUGAAUACAUUAGCAUGGAAUAAUAAGAUAGGACCUCGGUUCUAUUUUGUUGGUUUCUAGAACUGUGGUAAUGAUUAAUAGGGAUAGUUGGGGGCAUUCGUAUUUAACUGUCAGAGGUGAAAUUCUUGGAUUUGUUAAAGACGGACUACUGCGAAGGCAUUUGCCAAGGAUGUUUUCAUUGA
rnacentral:rRNA from 1 species